GUGUUAGCAGCCGCGGUAAAACGUAGGGAGCGAGCGUUGUCCGGAAUUACUGGGCGUAAAGGGCACGCAGGCAGUACGCCAAGUCGGGGGUGUAAAGUUACGACUUAACCGUGACCUUGCAAUCGAUACUGGCGUACUGGAGUGCGGGAGAGGGAAGUGGAAUUCCCGGUGUAGCGGUGAAAUGCGUAGAUAUCGGGAGGAACGCCAGUGGCGAAGGCGGCUUCCUGGCCCGCGACUGACGCUCAUGUGCGAAAGCCAGGGGAGCGAACCGGAUUAGAUACCCGGGUAGUCCUGGCCGUAAACGAUGGGUGCUAGGUGGAGGCGCGUCAAGCGUCUGUGCCGCAGUUAACGCGAUAAGCACCUCGCCUGGGGAGUACGGCCGCAAGGCUGAAACUCAAAUGAAUUGACGG
rnacentral:rRNA from 1 species